rnacentral:siRNA from 1 species
ACUCUAGAUAUAAGCCAGUCAAC